GGCUCAGUGGUCUAGGGGUAUGAUUCGCCGUUCGGGUCGGCGAGGUCCCGGGUUCAAAUCCCGGCUGAGCCC
rnacentral:tRNA from 1 species